UACAGAGGGUGCGAGCGUUGUCCGGAAUCACUGGGCGUAAAGGGCGCGUAGGUGGCGGGGUAAGCGUGUGGUGAAAGUCCGGGGCUCAACCCCGGAUCGGCCAUGCGAACUACCCGGCUGGAGCACGGUAGAGGCACAUGGAAUUCCGGGUGUAGCGGUGGAAUGCGUAGAGAUCCGGAAGAACACCGGUGGCGAAGGCGGUGUGCUGGGCCGUUGCUGACACUGAAGCGCGACAGCGUGGGGAGCAAACAGG
rnacentral:rRNA from 1 species